rnacentral:rRNA from 1 species
AGUUUGAUCCUGGCUCAGGAUGAACGCUGGCGGCGUGCCUAAUACAUGCAAGUCGAACGCUUUGUGGUUCAACUGAUUUGAAGAGCUUGCUCAGAUAUGACGAUGGACAUUGCAAAGAGUGGCGAACGGGUGAGUAACACGUGGGAAACCUACCUCUUAGCAGGGGAUAACAUUUGGAAACAGAUGCUAAUACCGUAUAACAAUAGCAACCGCAUGGUUGCUACUUAAAAGAUGGUUCUGCUAUCACUAAGAGAUGGUCCCGCGGUGCAUUAGUUAGUCGGUGAGGUAAUGGCUCACCAAGACGAUGAUGCAUAGCCGAGUUGAGAGACUGAUCGGCCACAAUGGGACUGAGACACGGCCCAUACUCCUACGGGAGGCAGCAGUAGGGAAUCUUCCACAAUGGGCGAAAGCCUGAUGGAGCAACGCCGCGUGUGUGAUGAAGGGUUUCGGCUCGUAAAACACUGUUGUAAGAGAAGAAUGACAUUGAGAGUAACUGUUCAAUGUGUGACGGUAUCUUACCAGAAAGGAACGGCUAAAUACGUGCCAGCAGCCGCGGUAA